rnacentral:tRNA from 1 species
GGUGGCUCAGUGGUUAAGCAUUGGGCUGCUAACCAAAAAGUCGGUGGUUUGAAUCCACCAACCA